CUCCCCGAGAUGCCCGACACGUGGCCAAGGCACAGAAGGUCCCCUUCCACCAAGGUUCAUCAAGUGCUUACUUGGGUCUAGUACUGACUCAGAAGCCAGCAAUAGAGUAAACAAAGCGAGACCAAAGCAGCAGAUAGUCUAACAAAGAAACUCCCUCCCCGGAGUCGGAACACUACGAACGGCUAGCCUUCCUCCCGCUGCUGAGGCAGACCCCAGGUUAGAUGCCCGAGAGUAACAGGGACGCGGGGCCAGGCUGCACGCACCGCCGGCAGGGACGUGAAAUGCAGCGGCUUCCUUGGAGAAACCUCGUGGCAGCUUCUCGGAAGGUUAAGCAUCGCAUUACCACGUGACCCUGAGGAAUACAGCCGGGAGAAAUGAAAACACGUCCGUGUCGAACCUGAUCUUUUGUUUGUCGGAAGCGGAAUUUUGAGAUGCUCCUGGAUUCUACGUUACAGAAGUCCCUUCACAUCCGGUGUCUCAGAUGCUCGCUAGAAGUUGGUGAGAUAAACAGGACUAGCCAGAUCUCCGUUCCAGAAACAAUUCAGCCUGUCCAAUGAUGUCCUCUCCACCCUUUCCCUACUUCCUGCCUCUGAGAAACCACAUUUUCCAAACAGGAAGCCAGGAGCUGGAGAAGUACAGAGGGAAAGAAUGUGUUACCUGUUAAUUACCACUGUACAGAAGACUACUGGACUGUGGGUCAGAGAAUAAAACGGAUAUUUGCAGGCUGGGGAAACGGGGAAAAACAGGGCCAACAAAAGCAACGUGACUUUUAUGGUGGACAAGUGUUCUCACUAUACCGGCCACUACCCAGAGGGUUAGACCCUGGGUCUUACUGUACGUAAACACCACCCCAAAACGCUGUUAAAAGUCAUCUCAAUAAAGACAGUGUUAUUUCCCCUCAAGCCUUAUGGCGCUUCCCCGACACUAACUCCAAAGAUGAAAAUGCCACCCUUGGGGCGACACGGCGGAGAGGAAAAGCAAGGCCCCGGCCACACGGCCAACUCGGGGAGGCACCACCGAGAGCAGCGUUACUUACUUCAUCAGCUUCUGCUUUGUGGCAGAAUCUCUGAAGCUCCUGAAUUCCUCGCCUGCUUUGAUCUCGUAAAACUGGGGCUUGAGGACCGUCUGCCGGUCCUCCCUGAGCUGCUCCUGCCGCUUCACCUUCUCCUCCUGGUGCAGAAGUCUGCGCUGCUUCCUGACCUCUUCGACCCAGUCUUUUUCAUCAUCCGAACUCUCAGAACUUUCUGCAUCACUCGGUUUUCCUUCCGGUUCUUCCUCCUCUUCCUGAAAAUAAAAAUAGUAAGCGGCAGCUCCUUUCCCCCCGCCAAACCCCGACCUGUUAUUUUCUGGCGACCAGCAGUCGCCCACUGGGAUACGUGACAUCGCGCGCACUGGAGAAAAGGCCUCUUGUCGAAGAUCGACUUCUAAGCUGAAGGUCAAGCAAAUUACAUCGCAAGGGUCUGAAAGGCUCUUCUACCUCGCACAGAAAACUCUAUUAACGAAACACGAGUAAACACAAGGACAAGGAGCACGUUACUUUUUCGUGAAGUUCUUGUUGCUCCAAGAGUCUUAGUUUCUUCUUCCUUUUUUCACUAAUUUUUGAGACAAGUGGAUUCAAAAGCCUAAAUUCUUCACUCUCUUCGUCCACCUGGAAGUCAGGGUUCUCAAACAUAACUUUAAAUCGAUCGUCAGUGAGAAUAUUAGGAAGGCUCUAUGAGAAAAAGAAUGCAGGAAUGUAAAGUUAGUAUGAAUAAAAUCUGACCAGAAAGAUGGCCUAAAGAUAUCUGUCAAUUACAAGUUAAUAAGCUGCAUAAGGCAUUACUUUAAUUAUUAGGGAACUUCUUUAGAACUCGUUUCCAGAACUUUCUAACUGCCCUUGGGUUUUCUCUCCUACUCACAAACAAAUUCUAUGAAUCCAUUUCAGACGGUAUGUAUUACUUGGCCAUUCAACAUAAUGAGCUAAGAAUAAACCUCUUUGGCUUAACUUUAUGCUUAAUAUACUGAACAGAAUUUUCCUCAAUGAACAUUUUUUUCAUGAACAACACUCUUCAAGGAAAUACAUGUUUUGAAACACAGCUUUUUAGGCAGAGCUACUAUACUGAAAUAAAAUUAGUGACUCUUCCAACUUCAUUGAAAACUGCGAAGGGAAUAAUACUAAUAAUACUAAAAAGAAUUAACAUGGUGGGAGCUGCUGGUCGAAGCUUCCUGACUCUGAGCGAUUUGGAAACGUAAGGGAAGCUUCCACCUCUUAGAGGAUGGCCUCCUCAUAUUUUCCGUAGGCCACUGAAUUGUUCACAACGGACGCAGAGUAAACCUGACAUGAUAAAACUGCUAUUGAGACUCAUAUGAAUAGCUCAGGGUUCUGAACAGAAACUUUUCUAGAACGUAUUAUAAACGUAUCUGUUCAUGCAAACAGAAGACAAUCCUCUACACUCAGGGCUCUCCUAGAGUUUUUUUAUCUGCUAUAGGUUUGGAAACCAGAUAAAUCAACCUACUGAAUACAGUCUGUAAAGUAAAUAGCCUGAACGUGGGCUGAAUAGGCUAACCCGUUCAUGGCGGGUGGAAACAGCUGGGUUCUGAGCGUGGUACGUAGAAUACAGCUACACAAAAAUCUGCCAAAUCGUGAGAUGUUGACGGACUUUGGCUGUUUGUUCCUGGUAGGCACCUAAAAUCUGAUAAACGCUUAACCUAAAUUUCUGUGACACUGAAUACGUAUUUAACAUAUACCGAACAAAUCUUCCCUGAUUAAAUAUCAUUUCCAAGACAGAUUUAGGUUCAAGGAAGACACAAAGAUAGGUAAGAUCCAGUUCCUGAUCCCAAGGUAAUCUAAGGAGAAACAGAAACACAGUAACAGAAACAAAAGCCCGGACGCCGCAAGGCUCCUUGCGAAGGAUGCUAGGCAGAGUUGCAAGUGCUCUGAAAGCGAGAGGUAAAGGGUAACUCCCAACAGGAGGCACAUGAGAAGGGUUCAUCGGGGAUGCGGCAGACGGAAAGCCGAAAGCAUUUCCAGCCCACUGAGGAGUGGUGAACAGUCUGAUGACACAAGAAUAAUGACAAGAUUUGGAAAAGCAUGUUUUGAUCAGGCCAGACUGUAACGGAAAUCAACACUGUAAGACCGUGCCCUUUAUUCUAUAGGUGAGGGGACUGCUCGGGAGGGGAGGAGGGGGAGGAGGAGAGAGGUGACAGAGGUGUGCUCCAGGACCCCUGGGUGACAAGGAGAAUUCUGCACUGAGAGCCCUCGGCAGCGCGGUGCCUGAUGGACUGCUGAGGGAGAAACCAGUCACGUUGUGACUACCAGACCGCUUUAGGAAACCGAGAGAAGAGACGGGGCCUAUCUUAGAGCAGUGGGAUCUAAGGGCGGGAACAAGUACGGAUGGAGGAAAGGGUGACUAGGAGACACAGUUCCACAUCAGAAUGGACAGAUGCAGCUACAGAGGAGCCGGGAGGGGGGAGAGGGAAAAGCAGGGUGUGAAGUCUAGCUUAAGUGACUGGAAAGUCAGGGCUACCAGGGGUGGGGACCCAUCACUGAAGAUCAUCAGAAAAAGGUGUAGGGUGGAGUGAAGGACGAGAAAUUAUGUUCCAGAAACCAAGAUGUCCUCCAGUAGGUGCAUGGAUGAACCAUGGAGCAUUCAGACAACUGAACGGCAUUCUGUGCUGAAAAGACAUGAACGACCAAGUCAUGAGAAGACAUGGAGAAAUCUUACGUGCAUUUUACUAAGUGAAAGAAGCCACUCUGAAAAGACUUCAUAUGUCUGAUCCCAACUAUAUGGCAUUCCCGAAAAGACACCUAAGUUGCCUGGAUUCGUAAAGAAUGGGUCCUCUGAGUCUGCCCGCGCUCCAUGCAAAUUUCUUACGCGGCCUCUCUCCAACGACACGACUCGAUCAGCUCGAUCUGCUCUCCUUACCCUACAGGGUAGGACCAGUCAUCUGAGCAACACGCAUUCCCCUGAGGGGCGGUAUGGUUGAGGUGAAAAGCACGUGCUCCAGGUGUAAAGCCAAACCCUCACGUUCAUGAUCACUGGGGUCUUUGGCAAGUUCGUUUCACCUUCUUGGGCCUCAGUUUCCUUGUCUACAAAAUGGUGUCAUAACCGUAGCCACUCCACGGAGCGGCGAGGAUUAAGAGCUGUAUGUGAACGUGCAGAAUAUUACCCGGCACAUGGUAAGCCCUACGAGUGCUGGCUACCACUGAUAAAAGGCAUUUCUUGUCUGUGACCCUCAAGCCUAAAGGAACUAUUAAGGUUCUACGUAUCUGAGGAUUCAAUCGGGUUUCUAAGUUUUGGAUGAGGUCUUCUAUAAGCUUAAAGGGAGCCAGAAAUCAUUUACGUGCAGUCUCCGCGAUAUUUUCAAAACCUUUUACUCAAAGCAGUACUAAAAAAAAUACAUCACUGCUUUCUUGACAUUUUUCUAUACAUAGCUAGUGUGCUCAAGAAAGUUACUCCUCACUUAAGAUACAAAAAAGGUUGGGGAGGUUGAAUAAUCUGAAUCUGUCCUAAGCAGAGAUUACCAACUUGACAAUGUACAUAGACUGUUAUAUCUGCUUUGGCAGAAAAAGAAGAUGCGGAGAAUCAGAUAAAACGUGACUCUACUGCCCCCAAUGUUCAAAACUCCCCCUCCCCAACAACUUUAUAAAUAUUUUAUCAUAAUUUUUUUUUUUUUUUUACCUAAAUUUUCGAGGUCUUUCUUGGUGACAAAUUUGUAAUCAUCGUAAACUGUGCUUUCUGGAUUCUCUUCAAGUUCUUCGGUCAAGUUGUCCAGGAAGGAGCACCACCUGGGAGCAGGGCCCAAAACCUACCAGUGUGGAUUAAAAGAUCUUUCCCAGCACGACGCCUCACCCACUGAGGUCAAGGCUUAUCCCAAAUGAAACAAUGCUACGCAGCGGGAAGGCUAUGCUAUUGAAAGUGUCUGCUGAACUCCAGGCUUUCAGAAGAACAACCCUGGGCUGACAAAAUGGAACUUCCCGUGACUACUUCCCUGUGUAUUUUGAUAGCUAUCAACUCAACAGGAGAAAAACAAAAAUCAUAAUGGAAAUGAUGAAACCUAGCUUAAACUUUCUGGAGAAGGGAAGGUGGAAGAGACUCGUAACAAGGAACAACAGUGCCUAAUACCAUCUUCACUCAAAAAAAUAGUAAAUCUGGGGCGCCUGGGUGGCGCAGUCGGUUAAGCGUCUGACUUCAGCCAGGUCACGAUCUCGCGGUCCGUGAGUUCGAGCCCCGCGUCGGGCUCUGGGCUGAUGGCUUG